AAACACACAGAACACGUGGAGCAAGCCAGUAAGCAGCACUACUCCACAGCCUCUGCGUCAGCUCCUUCCUCCAGGUUCCCUCCCGGUUUGAGCUCCUGUCGUGGCUUCCCUCAAAGGACUAUGACUUCAGAUAUGUGUGCUCCUCUGGACACCCUCAACCAUUGGUGCUGCCGGCUUCUCAAACCUUCUGAUAAUCGGUGCACAUGAACAAGAGUCUGCCAGACCAACCCCAACCAUCCAAGGAUCAAAUCCCAGGAAACACACACAAUCAGACGGGUCUUGUUAUGCCUUGCCGGCCGUCGUCCAACACGCCAUCCCAAAUAGCUGUGAUUACAGGCACACAGCAAUGCACUCAACUCGGAACCUAACAUCUGAGAGAGAGCCGAAGGAGGAGGAGGAGGCUUGGAGACCGAAUCCACUCUGGUGACUGUAUAAGGGGGCAGCUGCUGGCCUAUUUCCUGCUCCAAGUUUCCUUACAGGGAAAUGCCUAGGACAGGGCUGGGUCUGUGAAGAGGAGACCCAUGGGAAUCCUUCCACUCACUGCCCAGCCCAGCCCAGCCCUAGUCCUCCCUUCUAAUUUCCAACUGUCAGCCUAAAAGCAGGAGAGAAGAAUCACCUCUGACAGCUACAUGUGGUUCUGAAUGGAAGUCAAAGUCAUUGCUUCCUAUGAAAGAACGUACCUUUGAAACUUCCCUGGGCUAAAACAGGCAGCAGUCUGCCCUGGGACCCUCAGUUUUCCAUGUGCUGUUCAGUGGGGACCGGGGGUGGUCACAGGUGCACAUGUAAGCCCAUUCAGCAAGCCCCUCCCUCUCUCCUCUUCAGUAGGCUUCUACCACCUCCCAUAAUGUUUCAGUUCUGUUUCAACCAGCUACCACAAACUUCUGUCUCUGUAUCUGACCCCAGAAGACAGCGGUGCCCCGUGGCCGAUUUUUAAGAAAAGACCAACGCUGGACAAAGGAGAACAGCAGGCAAACAGAGGGGUGUUCGGCGACAAUCACAACACUCCUGAGGCUGCGUGUGCAGGACACCCAGAGUCAGAGAACCCUGUGGCAGCCCAGCUGAGCCAAAGGACGCCUAGGGGGAAGCGAGGCUGGGUCACGUGCCGCGCUGGAGCCCAGAAGUGCACUCGGCUGUGCUGACGUAACUGUUCGAGAAUUUAAAAGUCUCAAACUCGGAGGAAAUCCUGUGCAGAUCUUUAAGACUCACACACACGCAUCUAAGUGGCUGCCAAAGGUGCCCCCAAGAGACCCGGUGUGGCCAACACGAAUAGGAAAAAAAGAGACCAGCGGAGAUGGCAUAGAGGCAGCCCCCGGACAAGGACACCCCACCCCCGCCCCAAACCUGGAGGACCCCAACACUCCGCCCACAGACGUUGACUCCUGGUGGCCCACUCAGGGGAACCAACCUCUGGGACUGACGCUUGGGUCCCGCUAGUUCCCUGACAGACACACGCCUCAGCCGGCGGGGAACACAAUGUGUACUUUGCUACUUUCAGCUCCUACACAAGUCCCUCUUAGGAAAGCUGAAAGGAGUUUCGCAGCCGCUUCUAGCACGGCUUUGUCUGGCGGCCAAGGUCCUAGGUUCGUCUGUCUCCUCCCUGACCCCACGUGCGCCCGCCGUGGCCACU